ensembl:lncRNA
AUUUGUGCUUAUGCUCUGUAGUGUCCGACUCUUUGCAACACUUGGGACUGUAGCCUGCCAGGCUCCUCUGUCUAUGGAGAUUCUCCAGGCAAGAAUACUGAAGUGGGUUACCAUUUCCUACUCCAGGGGAUCUUAAUCCGGAGAUUGUCUUAUGUCUCCCGCAUUGGCAGCUCCUCAGCAAUCACCUUGGGGGGUGGCAGCAUCUGCACCACCAUCGCUGCUGGACUACAGUUUUGGAGCCCUCAUUCACAUUGAGAGGUGUACAGCAUAGUGAAACACAACGAAGGAAUUUUUCAACAAAACAGAAAAGUAACUUACUGAAUGGGAGAAUAUAUUUGCAAGAAGGUUUUGUCAUAACAGCCUGACCUGGAAGAUGUCCUAAAGCAAGCCUCUAAAACGAGGGAUGAAAGUAAAUACCAAAAGCCUGGAAAAGGAAAUGGCAACCCACUCCAGUAUUCUUGUUUGGAGAAUCCCAUGGACAGAGGAGCCUGGCAGGCUAUGGUCCAUGGGGUUGCAAGGGUCAGACACAACUUAGCAACUAAACCACAAAUACCAAAAGAAACUACUUAAAGAGUUUCCAUUCCGCAUGGGGUGGAAUGAGAUAGAAAAAUGUUGCUUUUCCUUCUGAGCUCUGUGUAGUUGUUUUUUUCUGUAUAGUAUUUUGAAUUUUUUAUUUGUAUGUAUUAAUUACAUAGCAAAAACAUUUAUUUUUCUAAAUGAAGCAAGGUAAAGAUAGAGGGCUAUGAAUUUGAAGCAAAUGGAGAUUAUUUGAAAUGAUUAUUUUUUCUUUCUUUAAACAUUGUAUCUUAGGCUCUAGAUUAGAUCCAGAAGUAAAGGACAACUGGGUCAAAAUGAUAAAUAUCCAGGCAAACAACUGACCUAAACAUUGUAUACCAUUUUCAGGAAUAGCUAGUAAUUCAAACUGAAUCCAGAGAACACUUCACACGUAAGUACAUGAUAGAAAGAAUCCUUUUAUUUAAAACAGGAGGGGAGUGUUCAAGUGUGUGUAUUUUGUGUGUGUGUGUGAGUGUGUGUGUGUGUGUGUAUGUAUGUGUAAACAUUUAGGAAAAUUACAAACUCUGACUAUAACAUAUAUUGUACAUGUUGAGUCUAAUAAAUCCUGAUACUCAAGAAAAUAUUUUCAAAUUACUCUUGGAUAAUUUAUUAAUCAAUCAUCUUUUCAAUGUCUAAAGAAAUUUCAGUCACAAAGCAUCUAACUGCAUUUAAAAUAAAAAGAUGAAAACAAGCUACCUAUUGGAAAAUUACUUCAAGACUUUAGAAAAGUUGGGACAACUACAGGCAAGAACCAAGGACAUAUAUUCAAUCACAAUUUCAAGUGUCUAAUAGUGAUAACACAAAGUCCCUGAAAGCAGUAGAUUGAUUAUACUUUUAAUUUAAAAUUUUAUCCAUGAUAAUAUUCUUAGUUAUAAUACAUUUAAUUGCAAAACAACCUGUCUUAGAAUAAUGUAGUGUGAGAUGCAUGGGAC